AUUGAACGCUGGCGGCAUGCUUUACACAUGCAAGUCGAACGGCAGCGCGGGCUUCGGCCUGGCGGCGAGUGGCGAACGGGUGAGUAAUACAUCGGAACGUGCCCAGUAGUGGGGGAUAGCUCGGCGAAAGCCGGAUUAAUACCGCAUACGACCUGAGGGUGAAAGCGGGGGAUCUUCGGACCUCGCGCUAUUGGAGCGGCCGAUGGGAGAAUAGCUUGUUGGUGGGGUAAAGGCCUACCAAGGCGACGAUCUGUAGCUGGUCUGAGAGGACGACCAGCCACACUGUCACUGAGACACGGCCCACACUCUUACGGGAGGCAGCAGUGGGGACUUUUGGACGAUGCAGGAAAGCCUGAUCCAGCAAUGCCGCGUGUGUCAUGAAGGCCUUCGGCUUGUAAAGCACUUUUGGCGGGAACGAAAAGGACCGUGCCAAUACCACGGUUCGAUGACGGUACCCGCAGAAUAAGCACCGGCUAACUCCGUG
rnacentral:rRNA from 1 species